UACGUAGGGUGCAAGCGUUAUCCGGAAUUAUUGGGCGUAAAGAGCUCGUAGGCGGUUUGUCGCGUCUGCUGUGAAAACUGGGGGCUCAACCCCCAGCCUGCAGUGGAUACGGGCAGACUAGAGUCAGGUAGGGGAGGACGGAAUUCCUGGUGUAGCGGUGAAAUGCGCAGAUAUCAGGAGGAACACCGGUGGCGAAGGCGGUUCUCUGGGCCUGUACUGACGCUGAGGAACGAAAGCGUGGGGAGCGAACAGG
rnacentral:rRNA from 1 species